AUUGAACGCUGGCGGCAUGCCUUACACAUGCGAGUCGAACGGUAACAGGUCUUCGGAUGCUGACGAGUGGCGAACGGGUGAGUAAUACAUCGGAACGUGCCUAGUAGUGGGGGAUAACUACUCGAAAGAGUGGCUAAUACCGCACGAGAUCUACGGAUGAAAGCAGGGGAUCGCAAGACCUUGUGCUCCUGGAGCGGCCGAUAUCUGAUUAGCUAGUUGGUGGGGUAAAGGCCUACCAAGGCGACGAUCAGUAGCUGGUCUGAGAGGACGACCAGCCACACUGGGACUGAGACACGGCCCAGACUCCUACGGGAGGCAGCAGUGGGGAAUUUUGGACAAUGGGGGCAACCCUGAUCCAGCAAUGCCGCGUGUGUGAAGAAGGCCUUCGGGUUGUAAAGCACUUUUGUUCGGGAAGAAAUCCCUUGGGCUAAUAUCCCGGGGGGAUGACGGUACCGGAAGAAUCAGCACCGGCUAACUACGUGCCAGCCGCCGCCGUAAUAC
rnacentral:rRNA from 1 species